CGGGAGCAGACAACAGGAUUGCCUCAGUAACGGCGAGUGAAGCGGCAACAGCUCAAAUUUGAAAGCCGGCUCCAGCCUGCGUUGUAAUUUGCAGAGGAUGCUUCGGGUGCGGCACUGGUCUAAGUUCUUUGGAACAGGACGUCAUAGAGGGUGAGAAUCCCGUACGUGACUGGUCGCUUGUGCCUAUGUGAAGCUCCUUCGACGAGUCGAGUUGUUUGGGAAUGCAGCUCUAAUUGGGUGGUGUACUUCAUCUAAAGCUAAAUAUUGGCCAAAGACCGAUAGCGCACAAGUAGAGUGAUCGAAAGAUGAAAAGCACUUUGGAAAGAGAGUUAAAUAGUACGUGAAAUUGUUGAAAGGGAAGCGCUUGCAAUCAGAUCUGCGCGGCGUCGAUCAGCCUAGGUUCUCCUCGGUGCACUCGGCGCCGCUCAAGUCAGCAUCAGUUUCAGCGGCUGGACAAAGACCCGGGGAACGUGAGUUGUCUCGGCAACUGUUAUAGCCUCGGGUGUCAUGCAGCCUGGUGGGACUGAGGACCGCGCUUCGGCAAGGAUGCUGACGUAAUGGUUGUAAGCGACCCGUCUUGAAACACGGACCAAGGAGUCUAACAUCUAUGCGAGUGUUUGGGCGUCAAACCCAUGCGCGUAAUGAAAGUGAACGGAGGUGAGAACUCUUCAGAGUGCAUCAUCGACCGAUCCUGAUGUCUUCGGAUGGAUUUGAGUAAGAGCAUAGCUGUUGGGACCCGAAAGAUGGUGAACUAUGCCUGAAUAGGGUGAAGCCAGAGGAAACUCUGGUGGAGGCUCGCAGCGGUUCUGACGUGCAAAUCGAUCGACAAAUUUGGGUAUAGGGCGAAAGACUAAUCGACCAUCAGCGCC
rnacentral:rRNA from 1 species